GCCGUGUUAGCUCAGUUGGUAGAGCGUUUGCCUUCUAAGCAAAAAGUCGUGGGUUCGAGACCCGCACGCGGCU